rnacentral:misc_RNA from 1 species
UUCAGUUUCUAUUUAGGGGUUUCUCUCGUCUGCUGGCAUCAAAGGCAGUGAUGGUCUCAUACGAUGGCUAUCUUCAUCUCCACAGGGUUAAAUGAGAAUGAGAUGCCCGUCAACAAAGCCUUCACUGGUUCAGUCUGGCACUGGUUCUUAGCCCUAGGUUGUCUUGAGCUUUGCUAUAUAGUUGGCCGNNNNUGAGAAGCAAGGUUCUCUAGCCGGAUCCACAGGGGUGCAUGUCUUUCCAUUGUUUGUACCG